AGCAAUGUUGAGCUUGGGCCU
rnacentral:miRNA from 1 species